UACAGAGGUCUCAAGCGUUGUUCGGAUUCAUUGGGCGUAAAGGGUGCGUAGGCGGCGCGGUAAGUCGGGUGUGAAAUCUCGGAGCUUAACUCCGAAACUGCAUUCGAUACUGCCGUGCUUGAGGCCUGGAGAGGAGACUGGAAUUUACGGUGUAGCGGUGAAAUGCGUAGAUAUCGGAAGGAAGACCAGUGGCGAAGGCGGGUCUCUGGACAGUUACUGACGCUGAGGAACGAAGGUCAGGGGAGCAAACGGG
rnacentral:rRNA from 1 species